rnacentral:rRNA from 1 species
GCUACGGGUGGCAGCAGUGGGGAAUAUUGGACAAUGGGGGAAACCCUGAUCCAGCGACGCCGCGUGAGUGAAGAAGUAUUUCGGUACGUAAAGCUCUAUCAGCAGGAGAGAAAAUGACGGUACCUGACUAAGAAACCCCGGCUAACUACGUGCCAGCAGCCGCGGUAAUACGUAGGGGGCAAGCGUUAUCCGGAUUUACUGAGUGUAAAGGGAGCGGAGACGGCAGCGCCAGUCUGGUGUGAAAUGCCGGUGCCCAACCCCGGACAUGCUCUGGAAAAUGUGAAGCUGGUGUGCAGGAGAGGUAAGCUGAAUUCCUGGUGUAGCGGUGAAAUGCGUAGAUAUCCGGAGGAACACCGGCGGCGAAGGCGGCUUACUGGACUGUAACUGACGUUGAGGCUCGAAGGCGUGGGGAGCAAACAGGAUUAGAUACCCUUGUAGUC